rnacentral:tRNA from 1 species
GGGGGCGUAGCUCAACUGGUAGAGCGUCUCCUUUGCAAGGAGAAGGUCGCAGGUUCGAGUCCUGUCGCCUCCACCA